UGAGUGUGCUCAGGAUCUGUGACGUUUACUUUGAAAAAAUUAGAGUGUUCAAAGCAAGCCAGCGCUUGAAUACAUAAGCAUGGAAUAAUGGAAUAGGACUUUGGUUCUAUUUUGUUGGUUUCUGGAACCUUAGUAAUGAUUAAGAGAGACAGUUGGGGGCAUUCGUAUUUCGUUGUCAGAGGUGAAAUUCUUGGAUUUACGAAAGACGAACUACUGCGAAAGCAUUUGCCAAGAAUGUUUUCAUUAAUCAAGAACGAA
rnacentral:rRNA from 11 species